rnacentral:rRNA from 1 species
CUUGGUCAUUUAGAGGAAGUAAAAGUCGUAACAAGGUUUCCGUAGGUGAACCUGCGGAAGGAUCAUUAUUGAAUGAACUUGGUGUGGUUGUCGCUGGCCCUCUUGGGGGCAUGUGCACACCUACCAUCAUCAUCUCUCCACCUGUGCACCUCUUGUAGAUUUGGAAUUGAUUAUCCGAGGCAACUCGGUCGUGAGGACUGCUAGCACUUAGCUGGCUUUCUUUGCAAUUCCAGGUCUAUGUUUUUCAUAUACCCCAUUGUAUGUAACAGAAUGUAUCAUUGGGCCCUUGUGCCUAUAAACCUUAUACAACUUUCAGCAACGGAUCUCUUGGCUCUCGCAUCGAUGAAGAACGCAGCGAAAUGCGAUAAGUAAUGUGAAUUGCAGAAUUCAGUGAAUCAUCGAAUCUUUGAACGCACCUUGCGCUCCUUGGUAUUCCGAGGAGCAUGCCUGUUUGAGUGUCAUUAAAUUCUCAACCAAUAUCAACUUUUGCUGAUAAUGGCUUGGAUGUGGGGGUCUAUUUUGCUGGCUUCUCAGAUAGUCAGCUCCCCUUAAAUGCAUUAGCCGGUGCCCCGCGUGGACUGUCUAUUGGUGUGAUAAUUAUCUACGCUAUAGACAUCUGCAAUCAUAUGGGUUUGCACUGCUUCUAACAGUCUGUUGAUUCAGACAAAACAUGACAAUUUGACCUCAAAUCAGGUAGGACUACCCGCUGAACUUAAGCAUAUCAAUAAGCGGAGGA